rnacentral:lncRNA from 1 species
UUGAUGAGACCACGGGAAACAAUCAAGAGCUGGGCAUGUACUGUCUGGUACGAAGGUGCUAACCAAAUCAUGCGUUUAAUAUGUGGCUUGCUACUCUUGAUAGGUUGCCGACAAGACAAUGGUUGUCUGCGUGGGAUCUUAAUAUUUCCAAUCUUUGUUGUCUCUUCUCUGCCUCUAAAGAAUCAAAAGAAGAUACAUGGGACAAAGGAGUCGUAUCCUUGUCGGGUGGGGUAACGGUUUCAAGUUAGUAGUAUUCUCUAGUGGUGUGAUAGUUGCAGGCAGAGAAGUAGUAGCAUCUGAUGAGGGUAACAAAGGAAGAACCGACGAUGUGGGAGCAAUCUAAGAGUUUGGUGAUAACCAAUCAUUAACAGCAGUAUCAGAUUUUAAAACUGGAGGUGUAAUAUAUUGUGUGUCUUGAACUCCUAGAAAAUGAUCCUCAAAAAAACACAACAUCUCAACUUGAAAAGAAAUCAUUGCUCU